GUGGGGAUUGAGGACAGAGGUGAACUAGGAAGGAACAUGAUGGAGCUUUCUGGGGGGAGUUGGGAGUGAAUACAUCAGAGUGUGCUAUGCAGAAGACAUUUGAAAUGGAGUUACUUGAGUUUUCAAACAUUCACAUCCUUUAUCUCAUAUGAGAAUAUAAGGGGAUGGGGGCUCCUUUUUAAACUGAAGCUUUAAAAGACAGUAGCUAGAAUUUAUGCUGAAGUGGAGUAACAGGCUUUGGAGCUGAGCAGUGUCCUAAUGCAGGGAAAUUUGGAAGAACUUGAGCAGCAUUCACUUUGCACAAAUUGCAGGAUAUCAGAAACAACGGGGCAUCUGCAUUCCUUUUACAAUCCACCUUCCAGUGGGAUGAUAAACUCAAGGACCAAACAAUCACAACAGGCCCACUUGAGCUGGAGAAACAAUGGCCUGAGCCAGUCCUAUGCCUCAGUGCGAAACAACAAUGCAGAACUCUUGACGAAUUCUGGCGUCGAGAGUGGAAUACUGCAGUUCAACAUGUCUGCUGAACAGAAGUUGGAAAAAGAAAAGAUCAUCUUGUAAACAAUUAAUUAAUGUUUGUCAUGAAUUAUCAUUUUUACUUCCUUCUCAAGAGGCUCAAAGGGAAUAAAAAAGCAUUUUUGCAGGUGGUGGCAUUCAAACUAAGGGCAAUCAAAGGUUUGAGAGCUGAGGCACAGCACUCUGAGUCUCUAAGGGUGAAUGGUGCUAGGAUUAGAGCACAGCAGGGGGUUGAGGGCUUCAGGUGUGAAGCUUAAUGUUUGUGAUCAGCAAAAAAAGUCUUGAAUUUAUCUAAACUGCUCUUCUGCUAACAGUACUUCUAGCACAUAAAUGUUCUGAAACUGACAAGUGUUCUCAUUGCUCUUCUAAUGCAAACAUGAUCUGCAUUUGAAAGAUGCAUCCCUUUUGCCUAAUUUAGAAUGUGCAUCACAAAGAGCGUUAGAUGAUGACCCCACAAAGAGAUACACACACACACACACACACACACACACACACAUACACACACACACACACACACACACCCCAUGCAUGCAAACUGUCUCUUUCUGGCCUGGAUCUUCUCUGAAGCUUGCAGCAAGGAUCCUGCAGGAUUGUUUUUCUCUAAAUUCCUAAAUCAGAGGUUGAGAACUAGGGCCUCAAUAGCCAUCUGACCAGCGGAUUCUUCUGAUCUUCUACAUGAAUAAUUCCUUUUAAUUUAGUUUGGAUAAUUGUCUAGAAUUUAUCAUGCUGCAUUUUUCAUUUGCUAUCUUCCCUCUGCUUCUUCAGCCUCGACUUCUAUCAGUAGCAAGAUAUUGAAGAGUAUCCAAUAUAUGUAAAAAUUUUAAACACAUACCAUCAAUAUUAAAAUUUUCUGAGGAAUUAUGACUCAUGUUUGCAACCCCUAGAACCAAUGGCAGGCAUUGUUGAUAGUAGUUGCUAAAGUCCAUAUAAAUACAUCUGAUAGUUUAAUGAAUCCUCUCCAUAAUCAAGAGCUGAACUCUAAUUAAAUACUCCUUUUCUUUCUGUAUCAUCAAUAGAGGUCACCUACUGGGAGAGCUCUAAAAGGAAACACUAAGUUAAAGGUUAUGAGUUAUCACUUCAUGAAAAUGAGUCAUAGGCAAAACUUAGAAGGACCAAGAUGAAUCUCAGCCUGAGUUACUUUUUAAUCUAACCUUCCCAAAUUCUCCCCUAUCCUGUAGUACCCAUUCAUUUUCUUUUCUGCACUCACAUUUCCUCUUCCCUUUAGUAUUCACUUGACAUCAUGCAAUAAACACAGGUUCUUGGGGCACAAAGCCUGGAGGCCCGAGGGAUCCAUGAUGACAAAGGAAACGUAGGCACAAACUUGCCUCCUUUUGCCUUGACUCUUUUGAAGCUAGUAAGUUGAGUGGGUCCUCUGAGGUUUAUGGUCACCAUCCUAGACCAUGUUGUGAGGUUUUCCCUUGAAUCCAAGCAUGUAGUACAAACACGUGGCUUAAACUUAGGAAAAAGCCCCCAGAAGCUAGAGAAGAGUUUGGGUAAAAUGGGACAAACUAGAAUAUUAUCAGGUCAGGGACAUGAAAGGAGACUUAAAAAAUUUAGAAGAGGAAAGGAUCUGGGAGGAAACAAGCCGAGCAGAACCCCUGAGACGGAACAGACAGAAAAAAACUCCUUUCAUAAAUUCCUGGAGGCUCCAGUUUGUUAACAUCUAAAAGUGGAUAAAAGGACUUACCAGAAAAAAUAACUUAGUUUCUUAAAACUACUAAAACUCUUCAAACCUAGACAUCUACUUUAGUAUUUUCUUUGCUUCCCCAUUUUUUGUUAAGAUGUUAAAAUCCUUUUUUUGUAAAGAUGUUAAAAGCCAAAUGCCAACUGCUGUAGAAUUAUGUAGAAAAAAAAGCAGUGAAAAGAAAGUAGCAAUGGAUGUGAUGAAACUGAAAAAAGUGGAGUUCGUGGCACCCUGUACCCAAAGGUACGCUCCAGACUUACAGCAGGUACACUGGUGUUGUUUUUAAGUCCCAGGAUUCUGGUCCUUGGUUAGGGUGUGUGGCUCUGCCUGGUGGUCUACCCUCUUCCACAUUGUUCUCUGAACCUGCCUAGUCUUCCCUUGCUCCCUUGCUGAACAAUGCUCUGCAUGUGGCAUUGUAUCCAGGACAGGUCAUAGGUUUGGGGGAAAGGAAAUUCACCUUUCUUCCCUGCCAUGUGCUGCUCUUAAUUAAUUCUUACUUCUUUGGAUGGUUAAGCUAGCACCCACUGGGGCUUGAGGGGAGUGGGCUGAAAAUGUUCCAAAUGAGUGAAAAAUUGAAAGCCUAUGUGGCUUUUAUUGGUAUUGGAUCAACUGGUCUAGAUUGAACUGGAAACGUUUUACUGUAGGGUGAAUUUUACAAAAUUAUAAACAUUUAGCUUUAAAAUAAAUGCAUUGAUUAAUCCAGUCAUUACAAAUAUGUGCAAAGAUGGUAUCAGCCUGGUACACUCCCCCUACCAGGAAAGACACAGAUUGAAACAUAGAUGGCAAUGGUUUUCACAUUCUUUUUCUAAAUGUAAACAAUUAGAAUCCUCCAAGUGUUUAGCUGCAAGUUGCAUUAACCCAAAGCAAUAAGGAAGGGUUUCAAGGAGUAAAACCAAAUAAUUUUAAGGAGUAUUACUUAGAAAUACUUCUUUCUUCUACAGCAGAAAAACUGAAUUUUGGUGGUGGGGGUGGGGGGAGUCCUCCUAUAAAUUGCCAAUGAACGC